GACAGAGGGUGCAAACGUUGUUCGGAAUUACUGGGCGUAAAGCGCGUGUAGGCUGCUCGGAAAGUCGGAUGUGAAAGCCCUGGGCUCAACCUAGGAAGUGCAUUCGAAACUUCCGAGCUGGAGUACUGGAGAGGAAGGCGGAAUUCUCGGUGUAGAGGUGAAAUUCGUAGAUAUCGAGAGGAACACCGGUGGCGAAGGCGGCCUUCUGGACAGUAACUGACGCUGAGACGCGAAAGCGUGGGGGAGCAAACAGG
rnacentral:rRNA from 1 species